GUUUAGAGCUUUUUACUAAAUGUGACAUGAUUGGGGAUGGGAGAAAACAUUGAUUCACAUAACUAUCACCAUUUAAAAAUUUUUUUUUGUUCAAACAUCAUUCAUCAUUCACUUUAGUCCAUGUUUAUAAGCCAAGGUGGAAAGAAGUUACCUCUUUUCAUCAGCAGAGGGCGAAAUGUUUUUCUUCAACUACCUAGUAACGUGACGUCAUAUCGGUUUGCGGAAAAAAAACGUAAAAAGAAUGGCAGAUAACUUGCAAAAUGCGUGGAGAUAAAAAAUCCAUUUCAUUUUAAGUCAAAACAGGGUUUCUGUCUUAAAGUCUUAAAUUUGACAAUCUCAAUUUUAGGCCUUAAAAAGUCUUAAAUAUUUCCAUAUUUUGCAUAAUGGUCUUAAAUUACAUUUAGUUUGUUUUUGAAUAUGUACAUUCAGUCACCGCUUUUGUCACCUUUUUUGUUUUUUUUGUUUGGAGGAAAUGAGAUUCACAGUUAGCUCCUUGUGUUCUUCUGUCUGAAGUAUCUGCCAACAGUGCGGUUUGAAUUUAUGGGCGUACACUUCGCCAGUUCCGGAAAGACUUCAACAGCAGAAUCUGUCAGAGGACCGUCAGAUUGGUUCCUGGUCUUCAUCCAGUUCUGCGCGAUCCGAAUUCUGCACUGCCUCUGCCGCUUCGCAGUCAAGCGACAUUCAAUCCAUCUUUGGCCCAACUCCAACGUUGAAAGUGGAGGUGCUUUCGAUUUUGAACACUGUGUGUGUGUGUGUGUGUGUGUGUGUGCGCGCACACACACAUACCAGGGUUAUUAUAGUUAAUCAAAUUAAAUUCCUAAAUAAAAAUUAUAUUUACUAAAAAAAAAAAACUGAAAAACUAAAUCAAAAUAAAAACUAAUGUAAAAUUUAAAAGUAUAACAACCCUGACACACACUCAGUUCAUUCUUCAUUGUUUGAGCUGAUCUGUGAAUGGCAAUAAAUGUGGUUAUUUUUUGAAGUAA